rnacentral:lncRNA from 1 species
ACCUGAUACUAGUCUAUCUAGGCAGAGGGCUGAGCUCGAAAGCACACGGCCUGGGUUUGGCCACCGGAGAUUCGGUGAGCAGCGGCAGCGCAGCUCUGUCACCGGGUCGACUACUUUGGUACAUUAUGAUUAGGAGGCGUGACGUGUUCGCCCUUCUGCUGAUUUGAAAGACGUCUUCCGGGCGCCGCUGGUUCACGCGAAGAUUCGCGUGUCAGCCGCGCGGACUACUUGUACUACUUCUGCAGAAAAGCCCCCCUGAGUGCGUUCAUGGCGCUCGAGGGCGGAGAACGGCUCGCGCUGACUCCUUUCCACACUCGUUCAAGCGCCACACCAAUGCUGGGGUACAUCUGACACCAACGCGCUUUUAUUUUCACUUUUUCGCUCCGGUUUUUUUUUCCUUCUUUCAUCUACACGAAUGUCAAAGGAACAAGUACGUGCACGGAGAGGUGGUGAAAAGCGAGAAGCAUGAGGCUGCUGCCCUGUUACUGGGUCUGUUUGUCCAAUAAACCCUUCGAGGCAAUGGAAACAUUGCUCUGACUGACAGCAGCCUGUGCCAUGCCAGAGGAACAAAGGACAGACUUGGUCAGCUACUGCCUGUCCAGCCUGCUUGCUUUGCUGGGUCUUCUUUUUAUUGUGAUGGGGCAAACAGAGGCAUCCCAGUGCAGCACGGAAAUUACUGAUGUGGUGGAAACAUACCUGGAAGUUCUGCGUGGCAUGAAGACCUUGGAAAGUACUUUGCUUUACACACCAAAUCUGAAAAGCUAUGAGAUUUGCCCCAGUUCCACCCUGGCAUGCUUUGCAAAGGAGGUAAAAGUGAUGCUCUUUGAGUUGGAUCAUAUACUAGCUUUACAUAAUUCACUUCUUCAUGGAAAUCUGGUCAGGAGACUGGAGUCUUUCAUCACAAAGAAGGAUGAGGAGCACUGCAUGCAGUGUGAGCUCCACAGGGAACUGCCAGUGAUGGACUUCCUGAUUUCACUACAACAGAUCCUCCAGGUGAUGAACAGCAGGUGUGUGCCGCUGCCAUCGUGGGCAGAAAAACGUGCCAACAUUCAGUCUGAAGUCAUACUUUUACCAGUAACACAAACAUUUAUGCUGGGAAACCACUUAAAGGCAACUGGGGAAAGAAAAUAUUUUAAGUGUGGGACAUACUGAAACCUGUCGUUUUUGCACUAAUUUGAUACAAAGGACUGAUUAGAGGUUUACUACAAUUUAUAAAAGGCACAACACAC